rnacentral:lncRNA from 1 species
CAGGCCAAGACCGCAUUUUUGGAGAGUGGGGUGUGUGGGGCAAAUAUGGCGGCGGGAGGGACGGCGGGGACGUCGGGAACACUCCGCAUGCAAAGUUUGUCCUCGGUGUUUGUCAGCACAUGGUCGCUGUGGGAAGAGCCUGGCCACCCGUGCGUACAGAUCCUCCCUCAGAUUGCCGUGUGAUGGCUACUUGUAGUGAACAGCAGCAGACAGAGGGCCUUCCCCAAAAGUUCCCCAUCACCUUGCAUGGUUCAUUUCCAUGGCCAUGGGCUCCUCUCCUCCACAGGGUUGAGUCUCGUUUCUUUAAUGGCAUACCCUGAGAUGUCCUGGGGGAAGGCUGGCUGGAGACACAGCACUCACCACAGAUUCCAUGUGCUGGGCUACACUUCCCCGCCUCCUCUGCAGCUAGAUUGGGGCCCCACGGCUUGUUCUGCCCAAUGGGCUGAGACCAAGGCCAUCGCGGGUUGAUGUGCCUCCUCGUUUUGCCACAGGGACUUUGGACGCCCCGUGUUCCAGACGGCAUGCCAAAAGGGGGAGGGUCUCGCCACUCACAGGGCACCUGAUAUGCGCAAGAAAUAAACUUCCAUCUCAAGAUUGAGAUUUCAGUCUUGUCACUGCCACAUGGCCUGGCCUGGCCCCGUGAAUAGUUAGAGCGUCAGAAUUAACGGAGUAAUUGCUAUUCUUGAGCUCUUUAAUGUGAGGAAGGAAGAAGCUGUCUCUGGAGCCACGCGGGGCAGCUGAUUGACGCUUUCCCUGACUGUCAUCAUCUAGCACAGAUGGCACUUCCUGUUUGGUAACACCUCACGUGGGCUUCUUCAUCCCCCACUGACUCUGCCAGUCACCAUCCUACACAGUCAAAUGUGCACAGUAUUAGAAGUUUGCCAAGAGCACAUCCUUGUGUCUGCCAAGGAGUGUCUGUUAGAGGAAGAGUAUUCUAGCAGACGAUGUUCAGAGGAGAAAUGGACCACCCCAGGAGGCAGCAAACCCCUUGUCUCUGAGGUGAGCACGUGGAGGUUCGAUGCCCGUCGGGGAUUUGGGGGGAGGGGGCAUGAAGAUGAGACGCCAUCCCAGAAAGGGGAGGGCUCGGUGUGGGAGGGCAGGCUGGACCAGAUGAUUUUUAAGUCCCGUGCAACCCUGAGAGUCUCCAGCCCAGAGUCUAUUUCUUUUUUUGGAAAGUGGAUGAAUGGAUAAGCUUUGGUCACUAAGAAAGUAAAGACCUUAGGAGAUCAAAUAGCCUGGCUUAACGAGCAAGUAAGUAUCAUAACACUAACAUUAUCCUUGCUUAAAGGUAUAUGCUCAUGAGAUCAACGUUCUCGGCUCCCCUGAGGUCGACAAAUGGUGACGAGUAGUCACGAAGGCAUGUGAAGCAUAUCUGUAAUUUACAUGUCAACCGCAAGGAGGGCUGAGCUGAGGGAGGAGUCCCAGCCUUGAGACAGACCAAAGUCAUCAUGAUAACAGCCCCGUAAUAAGGGCAUCGGUGCUUUAUCAUGUGCAAAGUGUUCUCCGUGACAUCCUGAGUGCUUCGAGAUUACUAUCUCAGAGCUUAUUGUCAUACAUCAUACAUUAUCAUAUAUCUCUGAAUUUAUUAUCAUAGCCUCUGGAGGAGAACGGCUGCCAUUCUCACUGUAUGGAUGGGCAGGGAGAUUUUCAGAGAUUGUUCCCACCCAGGAACACAUAGCAAGUUAAGGGGGGAUAUCCCAAGACUUGAACCCAGAUCCUUUGAUUGGAAGUCAUGGAUUUUAAAAUAAAAAAGCAUGUCUACUCCUGGCACUAGAAGGUGGGACCAAGCUCCAUUCGCAUGCUCCUUGGUUCCUGAGGGAUUUCUGCUUUCUGUGUGCAAGAUUGUGUGGGGCAAGGUAGAGUGAGGAUAAGGAUAGCCCUGAACUGCUUAUAGGAAGAAGGAUUUUUGGGGGGGGGGGGGGGGGAGGGGAAGCAAUGAACUGAGGCACAGAGUGCUGGAGUUCAGACCCUAACUCUUUGUUUGACCCAUUUCACAUCCAUGGCACCCCAGUUUCCUCAUUUGAGAACGGGAAGAAAGAUACUGACCCACCUUGAAGAAUUUCCGUGAGGACCCAGUAAGAAGACGGGCUGAAAACAUUUCGAAAACCCUACAAAGACCAAAGUUGUCAUUUCAAGGAGGAAUUCAUUCAGCGGCAGGUAACAGGGGCACCGGCUACAGAUGGUUUUAACAGAUGCGGCGUUAUUUUUCCCUGGACACAAGAGUAGCACAGGGCAGGGUAGCAGGUGAUGGGAUUAUGCCGUGGAGGGCCUGGCCUUUCUGUUUUCCUGUUCUCCCUUUAUCCUCUUGCUGCUACCUUAUAAACACAAGAUGGGUGUCCUAUCUCCAGGGUUGCAUGCCAGCUCCAGGCAGGACAAAGAAGGGAGACAGAGGAAGAACCGGAAUGAAGAAUGGGAAAGUCUUCUUAGGAAUGCAAUAGCUCAUUGGCCAGAAGUGCAAUCAAAUGGCCGGGUUCUAGAUACGCGGGAGGCUGGAGGCGUGAGCACUUUGUGGAGGUGUGACCCGGAACAAAUCCAAGGUUUUGAUGGAAAUGAGGGAGAGGCUGGGACCCACAGCGGGUGGCGGCCCGCAGUGCCUGCCAUGGCUCCAGUACUGAGACGGGCGCUCAAUUCACAGGGAUCAUUUGACCUCGGUCUCUGGACAGAGUGAAGGCAAAUUGGGUUGCCUCAUGCCUUGAAGAAAAAAUGGGUCUACAGGAUCCCGCUGUCAGGAUGGGAAAGGGAGGUGGGCCACGGAUAGAGUAAGGCUGUGUGCGGCUGCGGGUCUGGGCAUCUCCACGGUGUCUCUCCCCCCACCUUCCCCUGCUCCAGGCUCUGUUUCCUUAGCCUCCUUCCAUGGGGCUGGGCCCGGGCGGGCUGAAUUCGAGGAGCUCAUCUCUAGCCUCUGUGUUUGUGUACGUCUCCACCCGAAGAUGUCUAACCACAGACUUCCUCUUGACUCCUGGCAACAGAGAGAAAACAAAACCGCAGCAGCUUUCAUUGCUGAAAACACAAAACUGCCUCCUUUGCCUAAUAAGCCCAGACGGAGGAGCUUUAUUUCUGCUCGCGACUCCAGGCCAAGGAGUCUCGGGUGGGCAGUCACAUCGCCAGACUGUGCGGUGGGAGCAAGCCACCUGCUGGGGGGCGGGACCCCGAGCUCCAGGAGCCUGUGUUACUGGCCGGCGGGGCUCCAGGGAGACCCUCAGGGAUCAGGGGGCCCUCACCUGCCCCACGAUACCAUUGGCCUCUCCCUCCCACCAACUCUGGUUUCAAAGCACUUGUUUAGUGUAUAUAUAUAUUUUUUUAUCCCCUUAGUUUCUGGGCUAUUAAUUUCAGCUAUUGGUCAAUUCCCAUUUUGUGCUUUCCUUUUUUGUUGGCUUAUUUUUCUAAUUCCUUAUGAUGCGUAUUCAGCUCCUUUAUUUUUAGUCUUUCUUCUUUAAUAAGGAAGGCGUUUCAGGCCAUAAUUUCCCCCUGAGUUGAGCUUUUUUGGGGGUCCCGUAGGUUUUGAAAUCAAAUGUUCCUCUUUUCAUCUGUUUCUAGAUGGUUUUUGAGUUUCGUUUUAAUAUUUCUUUUGAUCCAUGGGUUAUCUAGACCUCUGUUUGUUAAUUCCCAAGCACUUAAGAAUAUUUUCAGCCCCAUUAUUUUUUUAUUUAAAAAUUUUGGAUUACGGUCAGAGAAUACGACCUAUAGACUCUCCAGUUUUAAAUUAAAAGAUUUUUUUCUCUGUGUCCAAGUAUGUGGUCGAAUUUUAUAAAUGUUCUAUGGGGAAGGACAAGCUGAGCUGGUGAGACCAGCAGAAAAGAAUGAUGUUCUAAAAUGUUCUUGUUCUGCAGAUAAGUCGCCCAGUUUCGAAUCUUGCUUCUACCUGUCUCUAGCUGCGUGUCCAAGGACGAAAUGGAGUAUUUUUUUUUUGAGAAUUUGUUUUCCAUCUUUAAAAUGGGAGCAAAAGGAAUAUCCACCUCUUAGCAUUUCUGCGAAGAUGGUGUGAAAUUGUGUAAGUAAACAGUACAUAUGCCCUAUUGCUAUUUUUAUUGUUGGUUUGUUAUUUUUGCAGAAAGGGAGGAACCUUUACUGUUAGUGCCCUAAGCUUUCUCCCUGCCCCAGAACCGUGGCUUCUGGUUAUCGAGAGGCCUGGCAGGAAAGAGGAAAUGGACGGCUCAGGGAAGCCACCACCGUCCUUGUGAAGGGAGCCACCUGAGGUGGGGGCCACUUGCCCAAGCAAAAACAGCGAUUUGGUGGCAAGGCCAGGUUUCAACCUCAGGUCUCAACUGACCAGUCCCUCUCUCUCUGCUGGCGGUCACUCUGUGGUUUCUCUCUUGAAAGAAGAGACUGUUGACCAAAGGUUGGCCUCUGGGAUGAGGGAGGGGCUGGAAGCUUCUGAUGGGUGGCCACCUCUGAGCGUUGCCUUGUUACAGCUUUGCCGUCUGGGAAGGGCGACUCUGAGGUCAGCAAGCUCCAGGAGAAGCUAGAGAAAGAGGGUUGGUUGGGAGCGGUUGGCUGCUUCGGGCACUGCUGUUUCACGGCUGGGGGGGGGGUGGUGGACGGAGGGAAUCACAGAACAGAAUUACGAGGCAGGGGGUGUCUGGGCUCUCUGAUUUGGGCCAUUGAUCUUAGGAGCAAGACCAUUCAUUCGCUGAGGAUUCCCUGUUUCUAUCAGCAAUCAUGUAACCAUGCUGUGUUUGGACCAUGUGUGGACAAGGAUGCCUGUAACAUAUAUGGAUUUGUCUAGGCAGCGGGACUCUGACUUCAGAUAGGAGUGUGUGCCGUGGGCUAGGCUGCCGGCAGGUAAGGCCUGGGAUUGGCUCCUCCAUAUAAAAUCUAAAAAAAAAAAAAAAAAAAAUUAUAAGGCCUCUAAUGAUUAUUAUGAAAAUUAAGUAAGUCAAUGUUUGCAAAAGUGCCUUGUAAAUCGCAGCACAAAUACCGAAGAAAGUCAUGGUGUGUAGAAUUUGGUCUGAAAAUACUAGCUGACGCUUGACUGUGUCCCCAGCUCUUCGCUGGAAGCUGCAGAGAAACCAAAUGGGGUUAAGCCUUGUUCGCCCAUCGUGGGGCUGGUGGGCUUUCUCAGCGUGAAAGCCUUUCCCUGCCCCUUCCUUCGAACACGCUUCGAUUAAGCACCUAUUAAUAGGCCAGGUUCUGGGCUAGAAGCUGAAUAGUGUGGUGAUCACCGUCUCCUAGGGGACAGACGCUGAGCAAACGGGUAGGUUGCAAAGCCCCGCUGGGGAGCCAGGGAUUGUCACAGAGAAACGGAUGGGUUCAAAGGGCACAAGGCAAGGCUCUCUGAGCCUCCGUUGCAUCAUCUCUCAGAUCCGGACGGGUGGCCUGAACGUUCUCUUGGAAAUCGGUAGCUUGGUUGGAGAGAGUAACCACGAGGUGGGGUGGGCGAGUGGACAGAGGCCAAUUUACGGCGGACCUAGCACUGGGGAAGAGGGAAGCAGUGGUGAUCUUGGCCCUUGGAGAGUCCAUAGUGCGGUGGAAAGACAAGAAAGCAGCCAGUGACAGCGUAGUCUGGUCUGAGUUUUGACAGGCUAAGUGAGGCCAAGAGGUACGGGAGCCCAGAGGAGGAACCCUUUUCCCCAGCCUGGGAAGUUGGAGUGGAAGUUAGCAAAGCAGAGACGCAAGCUAAGGGAGUUCUAGGCAGAGGGAACCGAAUGAGCAAAGGCAUGGAGUUCUAUCCAGCGAAGACACAGAAUCUGAAAUGGGGCGCGAUAAGGCUGCAGGAGGUACACAGUGAACUUGAACGCCGUGGUGGCGAACUUGAACUUUACCCUGUAUGUAGCGGGGAGCUACUUUAGACGCAGAAGCAUGAGAUUAAGGAUUAAUUAGGCUUUGCCACCAGGAUGGCAACUGCGAGUGGGUCCAGGGGAGGCAGGCUGCAGAAGUCCUAGAGGCCAACGUGAAAGGCACUUGUCUGGGGUUGAGCCCAUCGUAUAGCAAGUCUAGAGUGCCAUUGAACUUCCACGGACUCAGCGGCAACCUUCCCCACACAGUGCCCCUGGUCCGGGGAGGAUGGGGCCCCGAGCUGAGAACUCUCUUGCAGGGCCCAGGCCUUCAGAACAGCCCUCCGGGGGGAUGGCCCCCUCCAGCCUCGAUGGGCUAGUUCAGGCUGCUUUAGCUGGGGCCCAUUUGGCUGCAAGGGACAUUUUGCUCAAGCCAAAUGAUGACCUUGUGGAAGGGAGAUGGCGAAGUUUCACAAAACCCAGGGGUGAAAGCUUCAGCCCCGCUUCUGAGGAACUAAGAGUCCAAAACUGCAGAGUCCUGCCUAAGGCUCUUUUCCCACACUCACGGCUCUCCUUCCUCCUUCUUCCCUCCAUCAGAGGGCCAGCUCUCUCUGGUAGAGGAGAGCCCCACUGGCCGGCUUCUCCUCCUCACCGCCAAAUGCCCCGUAGUGGCGGAGGAGAGGACCUCCCUCCGGUCGCUGGGAUCCGGGCAGUCUGAGGGGCUGUGCCUCGGGUCAGGGGGCCUGGGGCCAAGAAAGGGGGUGUGUCCCAGACAGCAGGGCUCCGGAGCCUACUCCUCUGGGUCUGUUGGGGGGUGGGCUUGUGGGUGGGAGGGGUGCCGGCGCUGGAUUGGCCCCCAAGGGCUAUCCGUUCUAUUAGACCCGGUGAGCCUGCCCUCCAGGUGCACAAGCAGUCAGAAUCCACAGAGACCUCCACUCACCUUUUCAGGAAGGGAGACAGACCAGAAAAAUCCCCAUGUUUGCUACUGUGGACAGUGAAAGCAGGUAAGUAAAGGGUCCGAGAAGAGCUUGCCCUGGGGGUGGUGGGCAGGGGUGCGGGAGGGCUGGGCCCUUUUGCUACGGGCUUGGGGAGCCGGUUCAGAGCCCGGCGACCUGGUAGGAGGUGGCCGAUCUUGGAGGAAGAGGCUGAGGCCCCUAGGGCUGGAGGCUAACGGGGGCAGAGCCAGCAUCUUGGGGCUGAGGAGGGGCCCAAGACUUCUGGGGUGGGCAUGCGAGGUUCCUUUGUUUCAGAUGCCCCGUGGACUUCACACGGCACCAGCUGGAGGAACCAGAGACCAUUGGGUGGUUUUCCCCAAAUGUGGAGGAAUCUCUCCCCUCCCCCACCUCUGGUGUUGCUAGACGCUGGGCUUCCUGGGGGUUCUCAUAAACUCAGGAGGCUCUGUAAUCGUUUCCAUAUAGAAUGGUUUCCCUGCAUAGCGAAGGAGGCCAGCUGUAGCUGAUGGAACACAAAACAGCAUGCGCUCCUGGGGGAUAAACGUGAACGCCCAUCCCUGUGCCUGGCACGCCCCCCACCCCGUCCCCCCAACUCCAGGAGGGAGGAGGUUGCCCAGUGGUUAAGCACGUGGCCUCUGGUCUCUGCACCACACGCUUCAACUCCGGCACGAUUGCUCACCGGUCGAAACCCCAGGCACAUUACUUAAAUCUUGCCGGGUCUCAGUUUUCUCUCCUGUGAAAUGGGCAUGAUGAUAGCCCGAAGAAAGGUUGUGGUCCUCAGGAUUUAAUGAGACACCUGGAAUAGCACGCAGCACGGGUGUCUGGAUGGGCUCACUAACACUAGCGGUUUCGAUGGUCACUGUCCCUGCUUCGGCACGUGCUGCAGGGCUCAGCCCAGUCCCUUGUGGUUUCUCUAUUGGUUUCCAGUGCUGUUACAACAUACCUGAUGCGCUAACCAUCCCCACGUCCUCCGUGCUUGCUAAACUCUCCCCACAACUUGCUUGGGCUCUUUCCUCCUCUGUGAACCCUCCUUGUGAGAGCUGCCUGGCCACAACCUCACCGCUCCUUGGGGUGCUGCCCGACCCGCCCUCCUUCCUGAAAGCGUGCCGCAGAUCCGGGAAGGAAUUCGCCACUUCGCCUCCAACUCCCCAGGCUCAGAAUUUCCACGAAUCUCUGUGAGAGGGAGGCAGCAGCACGCAGCACGUCACGUCACGGUGCAGCUCUAGGGUGGCACAGCUGUAGCCCUAGCUGUGUGACCUUGGCUUGCCUGGGCCUCAGUGUCCUUGCGUGUCACAUGGAGACAAUGCAGGCAGAGCUUUGUUCACAGGGCUGUGGUAAGACACGUAAAGCAGAGACAAUGCCUCCUGGCACCUCUGAAGGGCUCACAAAAGAUUGGAUAUUUCUAUAAAAAUAAUCUCCAAAAGCCUGGCUUUUAAUGGCUGUGAUAUCUACUGUGUGGGUAGAUCAUAAUUUCAUUAACCAGCCCCUUGUUGUUGGGCAUUUAGACCGCUUCCACUCUUUCGCUAUUAUAAAUAAUGCUGCGGUGAACAUCUUGUAUAUAAAUCUUUCUGUUUAUCUCUGCUUCUUUAAAAGAGCUCCCCAAAGACUGCUUGUCUUAGAACAAAGCCCCUGCCCCCCAGACUUUCCAGUGAUGCCCUUUGAAAUAAAAGCAAAGCCUGUUUUCCACCAGGGAAAGGAACAUAUGGAACAUGUUAACCAAGAGGUGGUUCAGGAGGAAGGUAGAAAUAGGUUCAAGAUGGGUUUGGAUCCAUUUCAGGAUAUCUGACACAAAGCCAGUGAUACAGCUCCCCUCGAGCCUCCUUCCCGGAGCGAGGCAGAGACUGAUCCUCGGGGACCACUGACUUCUUUCUUUGAGAGAGUUCCAAAGGGCUUUGAUGUUCUUGGCGUGGGAGAAGCAACAAUGACAGAUCAAUAAACGAAGCCAGAAUGUGUGGACAAUCCGGGACUCCUCCAGCCGGUAGGGGGCGAUAUCGCCUGCUUCUGUCUUCCAGUUGGGCCUAGGGUUUCUCCCUAACAAGGACUUCCUUUGUUGUUGUCUUAAAACUUUGGCUUACGCUUUAUAUAUUUCUCUCGCCUGUUUUCCUUCCUCUCCUCCCACCUACGCACUUUUCAGAAUCACUUUGGGUUGCCAUUCAUUCAUCCCCUUCCUUUGGGAGAAAUGUACUGCGUGCUUCCCCUAGGCCAGACAUCAAGAUUGUGUUCAGACUUUCUAAGACCUAGACGCGCUUGCUCUGGAAGUGCCGACUCACACGGAUCAAAUGUAUUGCAAUUCACCCAUAUUCCAUAUGAGGUAUAUUUUUCCUGUGAAGAAAAAUAAGGAUUAUAUUUUAUAACGUCACUUUUGAAAUUAUUUGGCUACAAGUAAUUCGUUCCAUCUACGGCCGGCUUUGAUUUCCCAGCAGUUAUGGGGGUGCUCGAGAGUUCUUGCAAAGUGAGAAACAUCUAACCUGCACGUCGUCCUCAAAGAUAGUGAAAUGUUUACGAAUUUUUAGGAAUGCUAAAUGAAACCAUGAAUGCGGUUGAUGUAAUAUUCUGUUUUGUGGACGUUUCAGUACAAUUUUAUUCAUUUCCAUUGCAAAGCUUUUCCUUCGUGUUUGGGAUCCAAUAAUUUUGUUUUCAGGUCUACAGACAGUUUUUAGGGAUCUCUGAAAAGUUCCCAGGCCCUGUAACCGUGCCCAGUGGUUAGCAGAGCCCUCUGUGAGUCUCGGACAUGGAGAAACGGAAGAGUUGGGACAGUUUUUACAGAGUUCCCAGGCCAUCGAGUGACACAUCGAGUGGCAAACUAAUUUAGGUAAGCGUUGCUAUAACGGAGUGUGAGCGGGACACAGUGAAAGUAUCAUUUGCUCUAAGUUGAGACUCCAGGGGGAGUCAGUGAAGACUUUCAGAGAGCAGGUGCGUCCGAGCCAGAAUAUGCGACUGGCGAACAGUUUUCGAAGCAGAUACCAGUGGGGAGGGUGUUGCGGGCAGGCGGCACAGCACAUACAAAGGGGGUGGCCGGGAAAAGAACCUCUGCCUAUGAACAAGCCAGCUGACCUCUCAGUGCUGCCCACACCGAUCGCUAGGGCGUCGUUUUCCAGACCAGCGGCACUGGUGUUGGAAAGGCGGUCGUAGGCUCCCCCCCCCCCCCCCCCNNNNNNNNNNNNNNNNNNNNNNNNNNNNNNNNNNNNNNNNNNNNNNNNNNNNNNNNNNNNNNNNNNNNNNNNNNNNNNNNNNNNNNNNNNNNNNNNNNNNNNNNNNNNNNNNNNNNNNNNNNNNNNNNNNNNNNNNNNNNNNNNNNNNNNNNNNNNNNNNNNNNNNNNNNNNNNNNNNNNNNNNNNNNNNNNNNNNNNNNNNNNNNNNNNNNNNNNNNNNNNNNNNNNNNNNNNNNNGGGGGGGGGGGGGGGGGGGGGGGGGGCGGCCAGACUGUUCGAUGAUUGUUGGAGGGCUGGGCUUUUCUGUUUGGAGACUCCUCCAUGCACUGGGCCCACACUGUCCCUUCUGCUGGCCUACACUCCAGACAGCCUGUCUUGCCUGUUGGCUCCCCUAGCCGGUGCAUCACCGAUUACCUAAUAGACUGUAGGCUGUGUGCGUAAUUUAUUCCUGUGAGUAAUUGAUCACAUUAGGAUGAGCAGGGGAAGUACCAGGGAGAGAAGGGAGAAGAAGCAUCAAUAACCAGGGGAAGGAAAACUGCUACAGUCAGCUAAUUAGAUAUCUCUCUUGAGCAGCUCUUUCAACAUGAUGGCCCAUCCCGCUGCUGCUGGCUGAGCACCCCCUCCCCCUGCCCCCACGUGUGGAGGGGCUUUCUGACGGGUGAGGACUAGAGCCAGGAAACUUGGCUCAUAGGCCGGGUAAUCUUAGGCAAAUUACUUCUCUCUGGGCCUCAGUUUUAUUGACUUACAACAUGGGGAAGGCUGGAUCAGUGGUUUCCAAACAUGGCUGAUAGCGGAAUCACCAGAGGUGUUUUAGAAAAUAUCAACCCCAAGGUCGCUGAGACAGGAGGUACGGAUCGAGGCCAGGAAGCUGGGUGAUCAUGAGCACCUCCUCCGACUCUGACGUGGUUGGUCUGACAGAAAUGCGGGAACCCCUGGGUUGGAAAGAUAACCUCGGAGCUCCUGGCCUGCUCUGACGUUUCCAGGUCAUUGGUAAGGAUGGAUGCCUCCACGACCCCUUCGGAGGGUGAGGACGGUGCUGUGGAAAAGAGACUAGAAGGGCCAGAGACCCUUUAUCUACUCCUGGCUGUCAAGAAUUCACUCUGUAAUCACGGUUUCUCCCUGAGCCUCACCGAACCCA